AAGAAAAGAAAAAGAAGAUUAGGAGCAGGAGGUAAAACAGUGUGAAUGACCAACACAAAAUUCUUGGGAUAGCUGAAAGGGGCUUCAGCUCUGUCAUUCUGGGGGUUUGUACUAUGGGUUUGGAUGUUCACUUGUUUAAGCUGAAGCUGCUAUUCAUAUUUUUCUGCAAAAAUGUAUAGCGUAGGAGUAAUGUGAUAAAAUUUAUGCUAAACAUUGCAACCUCAGCUCUAGUAAAACGGGACCAAUCGCUUUUCUUAGUUCCUUAUAUUGCUUUAAAAAUAUCUCAGUUUUAAUGAGGCAUGGAAAGUACCGAAAAAUCUGACAGCUUUAGUGGCUGUUAAAGAACACAUAUAAGAAAACUGCUACAUGUUCUUUCAAGCUGAUCAAUACUUAACUUUAAAGUUAUUACAAAUCAAAUGCAUCAUUAACAUUCAGCAUGCUAGCGCUUCUAAUACGCACGACUUCAUGUUAAACUAUUUUAACAAGAUAAUAUAACACCAUUAAAACUUAACUGUCAGCAUAACUGUGCUACAACCUCACGAGAAAUACCUGGAGCUGACCACUGGUAGCUGUGUUGCCGUGUAUCGCAUCACACAGCUGUGAUCCAUUUUUGCACAUAAACACACCCACACAUACAUGUGUACAUAUGUAUAUGUUUAAAAAUCAUACUGCAGUUUGAAUUUGUAUUUUUAUUACACAGGAUAUAGCACAUUAAACGGAACACUGAAAGGAACAAACUAAAUUUUUUCACUUAAACAAGGCUAUUUUCUGUGCAAAUAACACAGUUGCUUGGAAAAAUGUCAUCAAGAUCAUCAGUGUUUGAUGAGAAAACAAGAACUAAAUGGUCAGUGUAUUUGCACAGAACUACCGAGCAAAAAGGCGCGGCAGCCGGAAAGCCCUGAAGGCUUCCUGGGUUCUGGCUGGUGUCAUGGCACAGGUCACAGUGGUGCCACAUGUCCCCAGCACCACACCGGAGUAUGAUCUCUUCACCUAUCGUUGUUCAACAUGGAAAGGAAAAUGUCCCAGCUAAAUAGUUUUAAUAAAAUGGUUACGUUUUGAAGAACAGAAAACAGCCCAUGUCUACGAGGAGUCUGUUGUGGGGUGUUUUUACCUAUAGACAUUCUGUCAGCUCAAAGUGACAACACAGCCUACUGCCAUCCCCCCAGACAGCGUCACACCCGCCAGCUCUGCACACCUCAGACCAGCUUCCUCUUGUGCCUUCUACAACUAAGAUUUCCUAUGAAAUUCUCUCAAGCAGAGAAUGGCCUGAAGAGACCAGCUGGAAUGCGAGCAACUACUCGCUGCCAGCAGCUCGUCCUGCUACUGAUACUUAACACCUUUUGGGCACUUUGUUCCUCUCUCACCCUUGGUGCAGUAGUGUGCCCUCCCCUCCAGGCCAGCUGCCUGCAUGGCCACACAAACACUGCAAAUGGCCCCAGCCAGGUUUCGGGCAUUCAUUCAACUGAGGCUCCCAUGAAGGCAGCAGCCCUGAGGUCCUUCCUGUGAGUGCCGUUCUCUUUCAGGUUCUUUCGUAGUCUGUUCUGGAAGGACAACUAACAGCAUCCUUCUUCUCCAAGUACUAGUUCUUUUGUAAGAAAAGCAAACCUUUUUUCCCUGAGGAAAACCCAUUUCUGACAGUCAGCAAGGAAGAAUAAAAGUACUUAACUAUGGGAGGAAACCUACCUGCUCCAACUUCAUUUCCAACACUUGGAAUAAUAUCAUCUAGACAAUCUGGUUAAAAUACGCUUGUGUUCUCGCACGCUUCGCUGUAUGGCUUUCCGUGUGGCAUGGCUCCCUGUCCACCCCCCCACCCCCCAUGGGCCCAGAACCGACAGGUAACAGAGCAAGUGCUUUUAAAUGUGCUUUCACCGCAUUUGUCACAACCUUUAGCGCUUUUAGGCUUUUUUGUUUUUUAAGAGGCUCAAGCACUUGGGUAGUCAUAACGUCAAGGCAGCGCUAGAGCUUUAGCGGCAGGGCGGAGGCGCCGGGCGGUGGGCGGGGAGCGAGGCCUAGCGCGGCGCAGGGCGGGAAGGCGGCUCCGCGGCGGGGCGCGGGGAGAGCGGCGCGUGCGGGGCGCCCGUGUGCUCCGGGGGAACUCGCCCAGGGACUGGGAUACAGGGGAUUAACCGCAACCUCCUCAGGGCGGCCAGCGGGGUGAGGCUGAGGUGACAGGGCCUGGCCGCCGCCCCGGCCGCCUCCUUACUUGUACUCCUCCUCCCGGGCCAGCAAACCGGCGCUGACGAGGCCGGGCCCCGUGGCGGCGGGCGGCAGGGGGCCGCCGGGCGGCCUCCGCACCUGCAGCGAGAAGGAGUUGGUGGGGGGGGGGCGGGCACGGCGCGGCCACGCUGCCCCCGCUCACCUUCCCGUGCCCCAGCCGCCGCCUUACCGCGGGCAGGCCCCUGCCCCGCCGGGCCCCGCCGCCGCCGGCCGCCGCCAUUUUGUUCACGCGGAGGCUGCUGCGUGGCGUUUCCUUCGCCAGGGCAACGGCAGCGGCGGGGGCGUCUCUGCUCCGUCCCCUCCUCCGCCCCGGGGCCCGGGGACGCUCCCCUGCUGCCGCCGCACGUGGCCCUGGCCGGGCCAGGAGGGCAGGGGCAGGGGCAGCCACCCGCUGCGGGGUGGCGGGGGGCUGGAGCGCUCGGCCCCCCCGUGCCAGGGUGCCACCACCUCGGCGCCCGGUGGCAGCCACUGUCUGAGGGCCUGGCGACCUGGGGACGGGACCCCGAGCAGAGGCUGGGGAUCAGCUGGCUCCGGGCAUGGCGCAGGGCCACCAUGGGUUCAGGUUGAGCAUCCAACCUAAACACGCUGGUUAAGACCGCAAAGAUCGCUGUGUGUACUGAGAAGACUAUAACCACCACUGCUGACUCAUUCACUGCCACGCUCGUCUGACAUAAGAACUGCUACCCAACCUCUCCAUCCCACCCCUGUUCACACGUCGUUAUCUGCCCAUGGACCCAUCUGCCCUCAGCAGCUCUCUGGCUUCAUCCCCAUCUCAGUGGUACCUUUCCUGAUAGCCUAAUUUUAGCUCUGAGCUAGAUGCAGUGCCUAGAUAGGGUAAGUAGAUUUUAGCCAGAUGGAUUAUGAACAACAUUUUCUUGUCAAUGUUCUUGGCUCCAACCCCACAGAAGAUUGCUUCAGCCCAGCAGAAUAAAAUCCUGUCCUUCAGGCAGCUGAGCCAGUUGCCUUACUUUAGCAUGCAAUGUGUAAUUAUCCUGUAUGUUCCGUAUUACGGGUAUUCCACUCAAGAGCUUCUGUUUUGCACCUGAAAUCUGGAUGUGCUGCUGACUUCAGGACAACACAGUGCAAACUUUCUUGCAAAGGUAGAUGAAGGCAUUAAGAAUCUGGACCUAUGUAUAGUAUCAUAAAUGAACAGUCUUUCAUUUCUUACAUUUCACCCUGGUAAGAGAAAAUAAUGUCCAUGCUCCACUGAGCUCAAUGCUAGAAAGGAAAACUCCCUGUGAAGCCUACAAACCUGUUCAAUGUAAAUAUAUAAUAUGCCUUUUUUUUCCCCAACUUGAUUCAGAUGAUAAACGAAUGAGAUUUAGUCCAUCAGUCCUCAUUGAGUAAUUCUGCAAUCACAUAUUCAUGCUGAGGAAGAUCUUUCAGUGGGAUUCUUUGCCAGCUAUUGGAAGUGGGAUCAUUGCAGAAGUACUAACAUUUUCCUGGUACUUAUCAAAUGCAGCACAAAUCUGCCUGGUAUCUUUGUUAAUUAUUUAGAGUGUGGCAGACAAAGAUAAUAUUCUUGGAGUUAUUGUUGGAAUAAUUUAUCAUCUAUUAUGAAGUGAAAGCGAUUUUGAUAUAUGAGCACUAUUGGGGGGAAUGGCCAGUGUGAAAACUCCAACCAGAUCUCUGUGCAUGAUAUUCUUGUCUCAUAGGAAGCAGUGGGAGUAAUAUGUGAAAAAGAGUUGCUCACAAAUCAGUAUCCUUUGGAGCUGUCUAGAUGACUUUACUGCACUUGGUGAUAUUCUGCAAAAAGAAAGAUCCUCUUUCCCCUUCUUGAGCCUUUUUAUGUCACAGACUAUGCAGACAAAGCCACAUGUGUAACAGCUUACACUAGUUCUUCAGCAAAGAAUGCAGAGUAGGAUCGGGUACAAAACAAAGGUUCCAGUCCAUGAUGGUGAUUGCAACUACAAAUCUCAGUGAAAAACAGUGUUAAUCAUUAAAACAAAGGUAUUCUUAGAACUGUCUCCAUUAUUAGAGGCUGAUUUAUCUUUCCACGUUACAGUGGGAUGAAUACUGGACAAGCCUUUGCAGUGCUUUCACUCACAGCUUAACUGGAAUCACAAACAGUUUUCAUAAUGAAGUCCACCGUCUGCAAAAGAUUUGUAUUCCAAGUGUAUGCGUAGACUCUGUUGUUCCAGAUUGUACUUCUUUCCCGAAGCAUGCACUGACAAGCUCUUCAGUAUGUUUAUUACUGUACAAUACUGUGAGCCAACUAAUGUUUAUUACUGGCUGUGCGUUAGGUCAAUCCAGAUUCACCACAACAAGGAACAUUUUAAAUGGGUUGUGCCUGAAGGGCAGUAUCCCUUAUGGAUCAGCACAGUGGGGAGAAGAACCUGCACCUUAAUAAGGAUGUACUGAGCUCCCACCUCAGCCUCAGGGGAGAGCAGGGAGACUGACAAGUCCUGUCCUUGUAUUCCCUAAGCACAGCCACUCUUGCUUCGUACCUGGCCUUUUUCCAGGGCUCUGGGAUGGAGGAAAUCCUCCUCAUGUCCUGCUUCACUCCAUAUAGCUGCACUAAGGCCAACCACAAUUACUGGUAUGGGUAUAAUGUUGAAUAUUUAAGUCUAUGUAACAUCAUAAAUACAUGUGUAUUAUACCUAAGUUAUGUUCACAGAGCAAAGAUGCAUCCAUAAAUAUAUGUACCAGACUGCUUCAUACACAGAUGCUAUUUAUUCUAUAUUAAUUAAUAUUGCAUGGAGAAUUUCCUCCCUCUUUAAAUAUCUCAAACAUCCUUUUUUAGAAUCAAAAUGUACUCAUACAGAUUCUUUUUGCUUUGACAGCUGACCGUUGUAUUUUAUCUUCAUUCAACAUAGGUGGCCUUGGUUUGGUUUUAUAAUUGCUGUCUUGUGUAUCUUCUAUCUAAAUGUCAUUAUUGUAAUUCUGCUUUCUACUUAAAUCAAGUUAAUUGAUUUAAUCAGUUUAAAGGUGGAAAGCAAACAAUGGUGCUAACUCUCCCAAAAUCUGGAGAGUUAAUAGGUCACGUUUGACAGGGUUUCAGUCUGCAGGUGUUGGCUUCACUGGCCAUCACUUUUUUUCAUAGUUUGUUUUUUCUAACAUCACACAUAAGGACAAAAUGCAGCCACUGCCGAGAUUUUACCGUUCAGUGUAACUUGUUCAGAAAUACCGCUUGAGACAUGUGGUCUUUGCCAUUGUAAUCUUAUGACAGAACAUUUCUGCCUUACAACUAGAGCCACACAUAGAUGUGGCUAAAACCAAAAAAAUAAUGGCACUAUCAUGGAUAUUCAAAUCCCAUUGCUUUAAGGGACACUAAAGGAAACUAGGCCAAAAACUUGACCUAUUUUAAAAGACAUGCCAAUCUGUUCUUUUAAAAAAUCAUUCACGCUUCAUUGAGUCUGUCUCUCCUAUACCAUGAAAAAUAUCAUACAGUAGCAAAAUUCGAAAUUCUCUGUACAGUUUCCCAUACAAAUAUUGCAAGCUGAAUUCUCCAGUUUUAAUUUUUUUUUCUCCAUCACUGAUCUUGAGAAAGAAACCAUCUUAAAAAUGCAUAAACUGAACUAAUUAGGUGUAGCUAACUAAAAUGUAGCUAGCCACAUCACUGCACUUUCUCCCUAGCAUUCGCUACAGUGGGCCCAUUUGACAACCGAAAGGUCUUGGGGCCCAUAAAGGAUUUUUGCUUCUAGGGGCUUCCAUGUUUUGAAUUUGAGAACCAGGAGCAGUGAGCCAUAUUUCUCAGUUAUUUUGUUGUUUGAAAUCUGGCUGUGAAACUCUAUUUACUUUGUGUUGGACUCCUGCCAGAGGAGGCCUGGUUUUAGCAGAUGGUCGCGGAGCGGAGGCCAGACGUUUCCUGCUGGGUCCUGACGAGGCACUGAUAGCACCGCUCCCAGGCACAGGCAGCGCUGCCUUCAGCAGCCACGGAUGCUGGAGGUGCCAUGACUGCUGGCGGAAAGGUUGUGAAGAGUGCGUGCAGCAGCCCUUGGGGCAAAAGCCUCCGUCGAUGAGAGGGUCCUGAUGUGGCGCUCAGAGGUGGUGGAGCUGCCGGCCACAAGAUGAGCAGGGGGAGGGCUGAAGUUUUGACCAAGAAGAACUGAAGUGUUACAACCAGAUGGACAUAAACCAGUAGUGAUGAGAUGUGAUUGCUUUGAUCUUUGACAGGACACCUCACUGUCUUGUCAGGCAUAAAGCGCUGAAAAAAGAAAGGCAAAAUGGGAGGCUACGGCAUCGCACUGUUGUGUGGGUUUACCUGUCUGCUCUACAGUCACAACAUGCAAAUAGCAUUUUCCUCUCCCCCCAUUUCUGGGGGGCAACUUCCCUGAGAACAAAAAUCCUUAAUGUGUCCUCGGGCUGGUGUUUGAUCUUUGAAGACACUGCCUGCUCGCAAGAUGGGGAAUCAAAGGGCAAUGCCACCAUCGCAAGCACUUG